rnacentral:misc_RNA from 1 species
GUACGAAACCUCUCAUGGACAUCCUGCAAUAAGCAAACUUUCAAUAAAGCUUUAUGCUUAUGGUUCAAGCAAAUAUUGAAGUAUGAAGACGAGGCUGUCUCAUGAAUCUUAUCACAAAAUUGUAACACUUAUAAUGGUCACAGGAUUAAAUAAUAUCAUCACUAGUAAAAUUGUAAGAGACAUGCAUUCUUCAACUGUCAACUAAUGAUAUUGUAAGGAAUGAACUGCCACCAACAUAGUUAUCAUAUUUCAAGCACGCUCAACUGCUGAAACUACUCAUCAACAGUGCCAUAAGCCCAUAACGUACCAAGCAUAAUAUGUUAAGGGAUCAGUAUAAACUUUAAAUAUAGACUUGCAAAUCAAGAAGGAAAUUUUAUCUAACAAGUCAAUUUUGUGCAGC